UAGGAUGGACAGUUCUGACUUUGAAGUCCU
rnacentral:piRNA from 1 species